GUCCGGCGCCAACACCCAUCAGUCCAGAGUCCAUCACCAAUGCGGCCGCCACGCGCGCUGCCGCUGCCGCACUUCACUCUCCCGCCGCUUGCCGGCGAGGACCUCGCCUUCGUUACCGCCCUCCGCGCCCACCUCUCCUCCGCCCCGGAGCUCGCGCCCUCCUCCCUCUCCCGCUUCCUACCCCAACUAAACCACCUCCGACUCUCACACCUCCUCCUCUCCCCGCCUCGGGUGCCCCACGACCUCCUCGGCUCCCUCCUCCCCUCGCCGCCGCCCCCUCUCCCCUUCUCCCUCCUCCUCCACGCCCUCACCCCGCGCCGCUCCUCCGAGCUCCUCGCCUCCCUGCUCCCCUCCGUCUCGCACCAAGCCUUCCCGGAGCUCCUCCACCACCUCAUCUUAACCGCUCGCCUCGCCGCCGGGAUCCGCGGCACCGGCGCCGCAGCGCCGGCCAUCGACGUUCUCUUCUCUGCUUGCGCGCGCGGAAACAAGCUCUCUCAGGCCACGCUCACCUUCCGCGCCAUGCGUGCGCAUGGCCUGCUCCCGCGGGUCGAGUCCUGCAACGUCUUCAUCUCCGCGGCGCUCCGCCUGAAGCGCCCCGAGAUCGCCGUGUCCUUCUUCCGGGAGAUGCGCCGGUGCCGUAUCUCGCCCAACAUGUACACGGCCAACAUGUUGUUGCGGGCCUUCUGUGCCUUGGGGCGGGUCGCUGACGCCGCCAUGGUGCUCGAUGAAAUGCCGGAUUGGGGGGUUGAUAGGACGGUGGUCAGCUUCAACACGCUGAUCGCUGCUUAUUGCAGGGAGCAUGGUGGUCUGGAACAUGCGCUGGAGCUGAAGAAGAGGAUGGAGCUGGAGGGGCUAACUCCCAGUGAGUUGACCUAUAACACGAUCAUCCAUGGGCUGUGCAAGGAGGGGAGGAUGCGGCAGGCGAAUCGUUUGUUGAGUGAAAUGAGGGCGAUGAGGGUUGUCCCGAACACAGUAACUUUCAAUACGCUGAUUUAUGGGUAUGUCAUGCAUGGUGAUAAUGGGACAGCAUCGAGGGUUCAUGAAGAGAUGGUUAAGAAGGGAGUUGAGCUUGAUAUUGUAACUUACAAUGCGCUCAUUCUCGGUCUUUGCCGGGACGGGAAGAUAAAAAAGGCCGAGCACUUGUUUCAGCAGCUUGACAGGCCCAAGCUUGAACCGAAUGCUUCAACUUUCUCAGCGUUGAUUCUUGGGCACUGCAAGACGCAGAAUUCAGAGCGAGCACUGCAACUGUUGAAUGUGAUGAAAAAAUCUGGCUUCCAUCCGAAUUAUGACACAUAUAAGAUUGUUAUAUCUACUUUCUGCAAGAAUAAGGAUUUUGAAGGAGCAGUGGAUGUGAUGAAGGAGCUUCUCGAGAUGCGCAUGGCUCCUGACAAGGUCUUAUUGCAUGAAUUUUUUGAAGCUCUCUCAAAGGCUAAAAAACUCCACCUAGCAGAAGAUCUGCAGUCAGCUGAUAAAAGUGGAAAGUUUAUUCCAUCUAUCUAUUAUACUGGUGAUUACAGGAACAAGGGCGAAGAGUAAACUGCAUGUUAACACGCAGAGACCAAAAUGGUGCCUCGUGAGAAUGUACAAUUUGUUUGUUUGGAGAACAAUAUAAGUAGCUGAAUUGCGUGUUCCUGCAAGAAGAUGACUGUAGCAAAUGGAGUACUACAUACCACGUGUCUACACAAAUAUGUCAACCGAGAAUUCUCCAUAAUCAGAUGCUUAUGGAGUUACAGGCUUGUACAUUUCUUGCAACAACUUUUGUUAUUCCAUUGACAAAGUAUCAGAUGUAACUCCACUGGUGAAAUUUUGAAUUGAUUUGUGCUGGUUCUAGCACCAGCACCAUAUUAGGUAGUUCUUCAAACAUCUUCUUGAAACCAUCUAAAAGACCAUCUGUUCGGAAAUUCAAAUUCAAAUUCAGUUUGUAUUGGAGGAAAUUUCUGCGAGCAAAGCAGUUAACAGUGACUUCCCCA